rnacentral:rRNA from 1 species
GACAGAGGGUGCAAACGUUGUUCGGAAUUACUGGGCGUAAAGCGCGUGUAGGCGGCUAUGUAAGUCGGGCGUGAAAUCCCACGGCUCAACCGUGGAAGUGCACCCGAAACUGCGUAGCUAGAGUCCUGGAGAGGAAGGUGGAAUUCCUGGUGUAGCGGUGAAAUGCGCAGAUAUCAGGAAGAACACCCGUGGCGAAGGCGGCUUUCUGGGACGGUACUGACGCUGAGACGCGAAAGCGUGGGGAGCGAACAGG